CGAAAUUCAUAAAACUGUUUCAAUGCUCCGAAGCGAGAGACAUUGACGAUUCUCUUUUCAAUUCACAGCUCAAAAUCUCCCUUUUUACCUUCGUUUUCGAUCUUCUCUGUCAUUCUAAUCAGCCAUGGGUUCUGAUGCGGAUAUGGAGGAUUAUGGAUUCGAGUACUCGGAUGAGGAGCCCGAAGAGCAGGAUGUUGAUAUUGAGAACCAAUACUACAACUCCAAAGGCUUGGUUGAAACAGAACCGGAGGCAGCACUUGAGGGUUUUGCUGAAGUAGUUCGUAUGGAACCUGAGAAGGCUGAGUGGAGAACGGACAUGCUGUGUGUUUGUGAAUUUGUGAUGCUGGAGAUUGAUGUGAUGGAUCUGUUCCAUAUGAACCUCAGGGGAUUCAAAGCUUUAAAGCAAACUGUUAAGCUUUACUAUAAGCUGGGGAAGUACAAGGAAAUGAUGGAUGCUUACAGAGAGAUGCUAACCUACAUUAAAUCAGCAGUGACAAGAAAUUAUAGUGAAAAGUGUAUUAACAAUAUCAUGGAUUUCGUCUCAGGAUCAGCUAGUCAGAACUUCAGCCUCCUACAAGAGUUCUACGAGACAACAUUGAAAGCCCUUGAAGAGGCAAAGAAUGAGAGGUUGUGGUUCAAGACAAAUCUAAAGCUUUGUAAAAUUUGGUUUGACAUUGGGGAAUAUGGGCGAAUGAGUAAGAUUCUGAAAGAACUCCACAAGUCUUGUCAAAAAGAAGAUGGCACUGAUGAUCAAAAGAAAGGUACACAGUUGUUGGAGGUGUAUGCAAUUGAGAUCCAAAUGUAUACGGAGACGAAAAAUAACAAAAAACUGAAGGAGCUAUACAAUAAAGCACUUUCAGUCAAGUCGGCAAUCCCUCACCCAAGAAUAAUGGGAAUAAUUCGUGAAUGUGGAGGAAAAAUGCAUAUGGCAGAGCGGCAGUGGGCAGAGGCAGCGACAGACUUCUUUGAAGCUUUCAAGAACUAUGAUGAAGCCGGGAAUCAGAGGCGCAUCCAGUGUCUCAAGUACUUGGUUCUGGCAAAUAUGCUGAUGGAGUCUGAGGUAAACCCUUUCGAUGGCCAAGAAGCAAAACCCUACAAAAAUGACCCCGAGAUAUUGGCAAUGACAAACCUUAUAGCAGCAUAUCAACGAAAUGAGAUCUUGGAGUUCGAGAAAAUUCUCAAGAGUAACAGAAGAACAAUAAUGGAUGACCCCUUCAUUAGAAAUUACAUUGAAGAUCUUUUNAAGAUGGCAUAAUGGUGGCGUACCACUUUGCCAGAUAACAUUUCUGAAUUUGGGAUAUCCAUAUAUUAGUCAGCCAUAUUCUCCUUGGUUCUAAUGAGUAUGAUGUUCUUAGAUCAACCAUGUUGUGCUUUAUCAUGAAUUAUUGUUGCUAAGCAGUGCGUGUAAUAGAAUUCCUUACUGGCUGUUAUUAUUUGACAUGCAGGAGCUUAAUGUGCCAGAAAAAGAUGUCGAGGAGUUGUUGGUAUCACUGAUCUUGGACAACCGUAUCCAUGGGCACAUUGAUCAAGUGAACCGGUUGCUAGAGUGUGGAGACAGAUCGAAAGGAAUGAAAAAAUACGCUGCCAUUGACAAAUGGAACACACAACUAAAGUCUCUAUACCAAACCGUUGGCAACCGAGUAUGUUGAGAGUACCCUGACAUGAAUAGAGGAGAGUGAUUAUGUUAUGGACUCUUAAUUGUUUUUUGGGUUGAUUCUGAAGUGAACGGGAUUCAUGCUCUGGAAUAUUAGAAUAUUUAGCUGCUCUUUUUGACUAUAGUUUUUUUGGACAAAAUUCGAUAUUUCUUCCCCCUUGUUUUUGUGUUUAAGCAAGCAAUGUGGGAAAAGAAAAAACAUAGAAGAAAAUUCUGUUCAUCGGAUUGGAGUAAAAACCGAAAAGAAGACCAACGGAGUAUCGAGCCAUGCAUGUCAAAGCAGUGAACUAUUAAAUAGCAAGAGCUUUUAUGUUACCUUUUGCUUCUAUACUGUGACGACCAAGCAGCAAUGAAUUGCUGCCAACGCAAACUAAACAAUUUAAUUAUCUA